UACGUAGGGUGCAAGCGUUAAUCGGAAUUACUGGGCGUAAAGCGCGCGUAGGCGGACCUGCAAGUCGGGGGUGAAAGCCCGAGGCUCAACCUCGGAACUGCCUUCGAUACUGCGGGUCUCGAGUCCGGGAGAGGUGAGUGGAAUUCCUAGUGUAGAGGUGAAAUGCGUAGAUAUCUGGAGGAACACCGGUGGCGAAGGCGGCAUCCUGGACCGGUAUUGACGCUGAGGCGCGAAAGCCAGGGGAGCAAACGGG
rnacentral:rRNA from 1 species